UUUUUUUUUUUUUUUUUUUGUGGUUUGGAAGUUGGAACGUUGAAGAUUGAGGAUGAGUACUUCACCUUCACGAGUAUGAUUUCCGGCCGCAAUGCGAAUAAAUAGAGCCCAAGUGUCCAGUGCCGGAAACAAUAACACCGCUCAUGGCUCAUCCACUGAACCAGGCCCAAUAAGUCUAUCCUCAAUUUGAUGGUAAAAUUACACCAUUUUGAUAGUACAACCCAUUACUAUAAUUGAUAUUUUGUUGUUAGCUAGUCAAAGGUAAGAGAUAGUAGACAAAAUGAGAUAUUUUCCACUAGCAAAAUGAAGAAUAAUAUCCGGGUUUUACUAUUUCCUUGUAGCUAAAAUAGAGACCUAGAAAGAAGAUUACCUAAUGAGAAAGAAGACGAUACAAUAAGAGACAUCUAUGUCAUUUAAUGGAGCCAACUAAGGUCGAAAUCCCUAUGAUAAAUCCAUCAAAGCUUCAACAUCAUGAAUAAAGGUUUCUUCUUGGCGAUGUUUUGUUCGACAAUUUAAGUGGGCUACGUUUGGAUAUUUCAUGGCUGAUGGGAUAGGAUGGGGACAAAGACUUUAGCAAAUUCCUUAGUCAAUCUCUCCUCUUUUUUUUUCUUUUUUUUUUUUUUUUUUUGUGCUUGUUGGGAGCACACUUCACUACUGUCUUUUCUCCUUUAUUUAACAGUAAAUGUUAUAUGAAAGAGUAUAAAGCGCAGGUAUAAGAUAGGAAGUCCUUAUUUUUUUUUUUUUAAAACGAUAACUAUUAUAUAAUCUAUUCUAUUUUAAACUAUAAAGAAGAACCUAAAAAAACUUGUGUCAGAGAUUGUCAGAUACACAAACCUUAUUAGAUCAAAGAGGUGCUUUGACACCAUCCUUAAAUUUUUUUUCACUGCAGUAGAAUUUGAACUCCCACAUGCACCAAGAAGAACAGGAAGUACUGAUUAAAAUGGCAUAAUUUUGAUGGAGCUCUAAUUCGUGGCUACGGUCAAGGCAUCUGAUUAGAGAACUGAAAGUUAGUGGGACUGGCAAUGAUGGACGCCUUUCUCCAAAAAAAAAAAUACACUGUAGAAAGCAAUAAUGCUCACCUUUGCAAGAAUAUGCGCACAGCUAGAGGUAAUCCCAAAAAAAAAAAAAAAAAUCAAUCAAGAUAUGUUAAUGCAAAUCAAUCACUAAAGUACAACAAAGAUCAAGAGGCAAAGCCAUCAAGAAAUGGAUAAGAGUUUCUGCCAUAAUCUAAAAUCAAUCAAAGACCCACACAGUUUUAACCCGAAUGGUUGGUUAGCACCCGCAAGUGUGCAGCAGAUCAUCAUGUUCUAUAGCGAAGAACUACCGUAAAACUUUCAAGAAUGUCAUUAUUGCAAGACCAAUCAAAGUUGGUUUGCUUUUCUGUAUUUCUUGGUUUAAAAAGCUGUGAAAUAUUCCAAUCUGCUAAAGAAUGAAAGCCAUAAGUAGAAAUAUACCACGCUUUCUUAGCCAAGCAGAGGAAAGUGGGGAUAUAUGGGGCUCAUUGCCUGACUUUCCAGCGUUGGUAGCAAUCACAUUAUCAGGAAGGAACGAAGAAGACUCGAAAAGAUAAAAGGAAAGAAAGAAAUCCAGAUGGUGAGUUGAGUGCCAAUUUCAGCAACUUUUUGGAUGUCAAUUCAAUUGCCAACGCCUUAUUGUUAGGAUAUCACAUGCCUCCAUACAUUCACUUGCAAAGUACUUUACAAAACAACCUUUUGGCUUUUGCUCUCCCACUGCUUUUUUUAAUUUUUAAUCUAGCGGUCCAAGAUGGAGAGGGAAAACAAAGAAAGAAGGAUGAAGAGCCCUUUUCAUUUCUCAAAAAGCUAAGGGCAUAUUAGUCAUUCACAGCCCCCUCGUUAACAGUAAAGCACUCUUAACAAUGAUCUUAUACAACAGUAUUUACCCAAAACCCUCUAAAUCCUACUUAUACUACUCGUAAGUCGUAUCUAUUUUGCGUUGAUCAAGGUUAAUAAUUGUAUCUAAACCUCAUCGGAAAACCUUUUGAUUUUCCGCCGGGAAGCCCAUCACAUCGCUGGAGAAAGAUCGAUCUCAAUUAGAUUCUCUUCUUCACCAUCACUAUACCCCUUCCCUUCCAGUUUGAUCUCUAUCAGCCCAUCUCUAUCCUCCCCUUCCCACCGGAAACACAUAUUCUCCUGCGGGUCCCAAUCUCUGAUCGCCGGAAAAUCCUCAUCCGAGGAGCUAUCCGAAUCGUCGGUUUCCGGGUAAAACUUCGACAGGGAUGCGUACCUCUCAAUAACGGCCAUCUGGGCAUCUCUUUUUCCCUCCAAAACGUCGUCCUCAUCGUCUUCUUGACCUUCAUACUCCUCAUAUAUCACCUCCAGUGGCGCCCCGACGUCCCACUCAACGAAGGAAUCAGUACGAAACGACGUCGGCAUGUUGCAAAAGUCUGAACCCAAUCCAUUUUCGGAGCUUUCCUUGGAUUUGGAGGAGACCCAUCCGCGAUCAACAUGAUGGUCAUCAUCAUGGGUGACACUGAAUUCCGCAGAAAUGGGAUCAUUUUCCUUUAAAGUUUCCUCUUGGGAGGUUAUGGUUCUCUGGAUUGCGCCCAGUCGAAGAAGGGAAAGUAAGAGAAUUGAGGUGGAAAUUAGGACCGGGGAGAAGAUGAUGGAGAGGAAAAGAGUCGGGAAGUAGAGGAAAAUUAGAAUGCAGAGAGUGAUGAUGGUGGAGAAUAAUGGGUCGUUGACGAGAGAGGAAAUUGUUUUUCCUAGGAAUGACAUUGUUGUUUUCAGGGGGAAAUUUUGACGGGGAAAGGAUCUGAUCAUUUGAAUUGCCUUUAUCUAUAGCAAGAAUUUGAUGGAUGCUAGCACUAAAGAGAUCAGACUUGGGGACUUGGAAGUAAUGGGAUUCGGUUGAGAGAGGAAGAGAAUUAGAUUACGUGAUUGACGAGACUUAAAUCCAUCCCAUGCAUUGAUAUCUUGUGAGCGAGUGUGGGGUGGAUGGGACUGUAGCAAGAAAAUGCUUUUUAUGGGUUUUGGUAUAGGGGUGGCAAUGUAUGAUGGGUUAAAAAUGAUCAUACAAAUAAUGGAAAGGGCUUGGGUUCCAUACGAUUCGAUCUGAUUGUUAUGUCUUUCGUAUCAUUUAAACUACUUGGUGUAAGAUUACAUUACAGUAUUUGUGUAAACGUGAUGUAUAUAAAUAAAAUACUUGACAUAUAUUUAGUAUUUAUACAUCCAAAAUUUGAAUAUGUACAACAAUCGGAUGAAACUGCACAAAACACAACUGCAUUGAGUGCUUGUUCCACAAGUAAGGUAUUGAAUAUUACUAACAAUAUGCUUCCAACCCCAACCCAAAAAAAGGCUAAAAAUUAGGAUAAAACAAAGAAUUAUUAGCAUUUUUUUUAUUAAGCUUUAAGUUGAUUUCAAAUCAUGCAAACGUAAUCUACAUCUAUAACUGUUAGUAUAAAAAAAUCAUUAUACUGUCAAUGCAUAAAAAAUUAACUGAAAAGGAAAUUGUCGAGCAUAGCUACAUAGGGACCUCAACCUUAUUAACGCCCCUCUACAAGAUAAGUGCAUAGAAUCGAACUGGAGGUCGUGUGCCUAAUUACUGUAUUUGUAGUAAAAGUGAUGUAUAUAAAUAAAAUAUUUGACAUAUAUUCAAUAUUUAUACAUCCAAAAUUUGAAUACGUACAGCAAUAGGAUGAAACUGCACAAAACACAACUACACUGAGUGCUUGUUCUACAAGUAAGGUAUUGAAUAUUACUAACAAAAUGCUUCCAACCCCAACCCAAAAAAAAAAAGGAUAAAACAAAGAAUUAUUAGCAUUUUUUUAUUAAGCUUUAAGUUGAUUUUUCAAAUCAUGCAAACGUAAUAUACAUCUAUAACUGUUAGUGUAAAAAAAUCAUUAUACUGCUGAUGCAUAAAAAGUUAACUGAAAAGGAAAUUGUUGAGCAUAACUACAUAGGACCUCAACCUUAUUAACGGCCCCUCUACAAGAUAAGUGCAUAGAAUCGAAAUGGAGUUCGUGUGCCUAAUUAACUUCUAAAGUAGUACCAAUUUUGUGGGGAUUUUCAGGUGUACUGAAGCAAUUCUAGGUAUUAGUAUGCAAACAAAAAAAAGGGGUUAAUAGGAGCAUAUUUCCUAGAUUGUAUUGCGUAAUUUUUGGAACUCAAUUUUUUUAAAGGAUUAAAAACUAAUUUGGUAGUCCAAUCUCAAAUGGAAGCCCAUUCUGCCGGAAGUGCCAAGCUCGACACUAGAUGCAGAUGUGCCGCCUGCCCAGAGGUGAGAUUCUUUUGUUGGGCCGAGUUUGGAUUUGUCAAAGACUAUAAUGACAGGUUUAAUAAGCCUUCCUACCUGGAUAAUCUGUUGAAGUUCAAAUCUUACCUUGUCAUUGAAUUUAAUUGAAACUGGGGAAAAAUCAAGAGACCAAAAGAAAAAACUAAAUGCAAUAAUACUAAAAAGAAUAUUAGGAGACUAAUGGGAAAUGGAGUUCUUGACUCAAGAAAAAUAAAGAAACAAGGGGAAUGGAGUUCUUGGCGGGUCAUUGGUUUGUCCACCAAUAUAUUCAUUCCCGUACAAAAUUAACCGUGAUAGUAUAUACACUGUCAGUGUAUAUAAGAUUUGCUCUUGAGAUAAUCUUUGGUUUCUGCGACUUCAUCAAUACUUCUCAGCUCGUGGCUCUUUUACUAUGUGGUAUAUCACAUUUGUGGUACCUCAUGAGUUUUUUUUUUUUCUUUUUUACAUUCUUAUUUUUACAAUAUGAUUUACCAUAAUGUGAUAUACCACAUUGUAGAAUUUCCCCAGAUUCUAACACAGUUUUAAUUUGAUAAACGUAUAACUGUAUAUACAUGCAGGAUACCUAUCAAACUUAAAAAAAAAAAAACCAAAGACUUUAUAACUAUUGCUGAAUAUUACCCUCACCCAAGGCAAUAAUACAAGAUGAGAAUUCUAGCCCUGUAGAAGCCCCGUACGUGGUGAGAUAUUAUUAUGAUGCAUCUCCCUUGGUAAAUUUCUGCCAUCUUUGUUUGCGAACAUUGCACCUGGUAGUUGUCAUUGAAUACUAAUUCAUAUAUUCUUGAACGGAGCAAUUGUUGUGUUAUCAUGAAUAUCCUUUGGGUUAAUCUGUUGCAGUUCAAUUAUCUUCUGGAAAUAAACCAGUUAGGCUGCUUUUUGGCCCUAAGCCAUUGUUGGCUCUGAUAUUCAUCUAAUGCCAUGAAUAUCAUUUGAACGAAAGAGAUCAACAUUUGAUAGUGCGCCCAUCUCCUGCUAUCUUAUCACUGCCAAGUUCUUGAUGGGUUGAUUAAACUUGUAGUAGCAUUUACAUAGUUUAAAAGCAUUCAAGAAAGAAAACAAAGAAAGAAAGAAAGAAAGAAAAGAAGUGUAGCGACAUGUAUGCUAUGCCUAUGGGUAUGGGAACAUAGGGAUGGGACUAGUGGCAAUACUUUUAAGGCAUUCUUGUCAACGAGUCACACUUGUUGCUUGUUUUUUAAGACGUGGGCUGGGGGAGCAAGUGAAGCGAAUAGCUAGUGUUACAUAUGUAUUUGUACGGUAGUAUGAUAGUUGGAUACUUUGAACUAAAUGUACAAGAAAUCAAGGAUUCAUACUCUUUUCCUCCCACAAGGUCCAAAAAGGGAUAUAUAUAUAUAUAUAUAUAUAUAUAUAUAUAUAUAUAUAUAUAUAUAUAUAUAUAUAUAUGUAUAGCUAUCCUCAAUAGGGUAUACACGUUAGUUUCACGCUAUGAUGCUAAUUUAGCUCAAGUAUUACGGAGCGUGUUUGAAUAGGAGAUUAUUUAAUAUAUUAUUUGUACUAUUGUCUGUCAUAUUUUUUAUGAUGUGAUGUUUGUGAAAUAGAAAAGUGAUUAAGAAGAUAAAAAUGUUGAUUGAAAAAUGUAUUUGUGGUGAUGUAAGCAAAUAAUUUUUUUUACAAAUAAUGUGAUAUCCAAACAAUUUAAUAAAUUUAUGAUACCAUUGAAACCGAUCCAACUGCGCCCUAGCUAAGACAAGCAACUAAUAAAUGCAAAGCCCAAUUAGUACAACAUUGCCUAAUGAAUAUGUAACUUGGAUGCCAGUGUUUUUAGUUCAUUAAUGGAGAACAACUUAAUUACCAUGCAUCUCCAAUUAAUUAACCGGAAAAAUCCUACUAUUACACUUAUAGACGCUGUUAUACACAUACUGUUAAACUAUCAUCACCUCACCAAAUUAAUUACCAGAAUAACAAAAUCAACAGCCAUCACAGUUUCUAAUUCUAAACUCGUAGAUCAAAAUUACAAUUUGCCAUAACAUACAACAAUACAGGCUUCUGCCGAAGAUAAAACAACGAAGAAUCGUAUAAUGCAAAUUCAUUCCUGAAAUUCUUAAGAAAUGAUUGGUAACCUGGAACAGCAUCGUGUUCUUUCCAAAUGGAAAAUCUACCAUUAAAGUUUUUCUUGUCUGCCACUUUCAUUUACAGUCAAUGAAAAGUCGAAAGAAUAUCUCAAAAACAACAAUGAUUUUCUAUAUAUGAUUCCAUCCAAAAUGCACCAACAAAACAGAAAAGAUGGUAACCUAAAUUCCCAAUGGAAAAUUUUACUCAAUAAAUGCACUGUGGGCUUUAAGUCUUAACUCUUAAGCCUCUAAUUGUACUAGAUGUUUAACUAACUAACUAACUGACUAUGUAUCGGUGCUCCUUUUUAUAUCAUCACAACACACGAACUACAAGUUUUUGUUUCAUAAAAGGUGAUAAUUCUUUUAAAGUUAUAAACAUCUCUUCAAAAAAUUGCUUAAUUUUUAUCAAGUACUGCUUUGCCUCUAGAAGCAAAGGGGUCCCCAUGAAAAAGCAAAGAACUAGUAAUUGCUCGAAAAGGUUACCAUUAAACUAGCUUGAAAAGACAUGACGGAGUACACAUUUGCUUUUUGGUUCUCCAACUUCGAAGGUUCUUUUCUUUUACUAUGCGUCUUCCGUUUGGAAAAAUUGUAAUUAAUGUUCAAGAAAUUAGCGAUAGAUACAAGACAUCUCCUGAAGAUACAAAAGAUCUACUUGUGGUGCUGAGUUCAGCUCAAGAAUUUUUUUUCUUUUAAUUUAAGUUGAUCUCGACUUGAUUUAACUGUAUAUUGAUGAUACAAAUGACAUAUCAUUGUAUCGAAGUUAUUGAUUGCCUGAUGGUGAUUUGACCGAGAGUUAUUGCAAGUAUUAAACAAUUCGAUAUAUUAAAGCACAUUUAGAAUGUAUAUUCUAAACUGCAAAUCAUCAAUUAGAAGAUUCUAUAAACAUAGUGAAUGGAAAAAAAAAAAAAAGCAAAUAUUUAAGAGUUAAAAUUGCGAAAUUGUCACAUAGUCGAGUUUCUUGGACAAUAUGGAAUCUAAGCAUGUGCAUAGAAAGGUUUCGAAAAGGCAAAGACAUUAUUCAAGAAUUAUUGAAAUGACCUUAUGUUUCAAGGGUUUUCCAAUGCAAUAGUUGAUGAAGUCGGUAAUGACUGGUUAAUUUUUUUUUUUUUAAGGAUACAAAACUAAUGCAUGAUAUGAAUACUAGCCUAUAUAAGGUAGGAUAAACAUUAUACAGAAAUUUAAGGAUUUAAAUGAAUGCAUGAUAUGAUAAAAAAAAAUGAAUGCAUGAUAUGAACCCUAACCUACAUAAGGUAGGAUAAACACUACAGUGAAAUUAGUAGUAAAUUGACAACUUCUGAGAUAAUAAUGAUAUCGAAACCUUUCAACAUAAAGUAAUAAUGGCUUGAUUAUGCAACUCAUUUGGUAAUAGCUCUUAUAUACUUCGAUCAUUUUGUCAUGCAGAUCCCUGGAAUAGGUUCCACUUCUUCUUCCUUUCCAAUGUACGGUAUCGUAUAACUACCAAUAAUUGCGUAAAUAUUUAAUUCCUGCACAGAGAACGGAAUCUUUAAUGCUACAUGAUUUUGGAUAGAUCGAGUAGGCAGGCAGAUUUGCUGAACAAACUUUCCGUAAAGUGAUCGGAUAAUAUUCAAAUGAUAAGCGUCCUGUUAUCUCAUCAUUGCUUCAGGAACAAAUCAUCCAUGGCCAUUGGCCAGGCCAGAAAAAGCAGAGAGGAAAGGGGAGGGGGCCAUGCAAUGACAGUCGGGAUUGCUUUGCUUGAUGUAACUCCCUCUUGAGCUGUAUGAGGAUAUGGGGCUGCAGGAUCAUGGACGACUGACUGGUUUUUGGCUAAUAGUUAGAUGUGGCAGACAGCAAAUCCCGGCCGUCAGUUCGAUUGAUACAUAGUGCACGUUAAAGGGUGUAUGAUUUGUACCAGAGUAGAAGUUCAUGUCGGAUGACGAAUUGAAGAUAUUGGAACUGGGAGAAGAAGUUCCUCAAAAUUAAUGUUUAACAUCUGACAAUUCAAGAAACUUUUGGGGGGUUCAGCAUUCAGCACAUGCCUAAGGGCCCUUCUAUUUCUCUCCCAAGCCUCAUGUUGAUGAAUAUCUGAACUUUAGCUUUUAUGGUUUAGGCACAUUUCCACUAGCUAAAAUGAGAGCUCUUCUUCCCCACCCCCAACACUCCCCUGUCGUUUGGGUUGAAAAAAAAUUAUAGACAAGAAGGUUCUGAAUAGAAUGGCAAGAACGGAAUUGGUAGUGGAGCAAAGAAUUAAACAUUUUCUUGUUUGAAGCUCUUCAUCUCAGUUCUUUUCUUCUUUAUCCACAUACAUAAAGAGCAUAAACUUUAUAGUUGACAUACAAAUACAUUGCACAGAAGAUUUCUCUGAUAGGGUCAUUUGGUCAUUCAGACACCAUUACCAUCCUACACAUUAGCUUGGACCAUCAUGGAGAAAACCAAACUACGACUCCUUGAAUACUGUUGUUCCUGCAUGAGGAAGCGACAGAUGCCCACCAGAAAGCAGCUAGGCAAGAGUAAAAGCAUCCCAAACAGCCAGCCAAAAUUUGGCCCCAAGGAUUCUCUGUUUCAUUUCUCAAACCAACGGGAGAUAUAGAACGGCCUAACGUUGUAUGUAAAUAACCGCAGCUUUAGUUUACAGACAGCACUACUGUCAUUUUUCACAGGACAACAGUCAAGCGACAAUGUGCAAUACUCUAAACUCCCACAAACUUUUAACGUUGUAUAUAAUAAAUACUCAUAAAAGAAAGUAACCUACAAUAAGCACAUAGCAAAAUCCUAUCCACCUUGGAAUGUAUGGAAAUACUAGGAGGUGGUUAGAAGCAUUUCCUUGAAAACCUAGCAGGUCAUUCUAUCGAUGAUGCCCUUCCAUGGGCUGUAUGAGUAUUUCUUCCAUACAUCUUCAGUUCCUUUUUCUUCAUUGCUUCCAAGAUCUUCUGAUACCUUGGGUCAAUUUCUCACUUAAAACUGCGCCACCAACUCAACCCAUCCAAGAACGCUUUGGAUUUCAAGAAGUUGGAAAGGCAUCCCCGAGAAAUCAAUGCUACCAUGGGCCUGGGGGGCCAUAACCUCCAUGAUGCUCUUUACCGGGGGGAAGUUUCCAUAUGAAGGCCUUGGAACAGGAGCUCCAUAUGGAGAACCUGGGAUCAUAAUAAGAAGAAAACUCUUUGGACAUUACUGUACAUUGAAGAAAUCAAAUAACACAUUCGAAUCACAAUGGAGAUAAAAAAAAAUGUUUAUACCAAGCAUGAGAAACAAAGUAACGACUAAGUUGAUAUUCUUCAACAGGUUGUCACCAUCUCUAGCUCAAAAAUACAGAAAGAAAAACAUUCCACCCAGCGAGGAAGGAAACUCAUCACAGUUGGUCCAAGAUGCAAUAAAAUUAAAGUUGCAUAUUGGUGUAUGGCACUCAUGACCCACUUUUACCAUUUUGAAAGUUGAUUAAGUUUUACCACAUAGAUAUUAGAAGAAAAUGUAACUCGAUAUCAUACUUGAAUAUUUUCCUAAUUCCUAUUACAAAUAUUUGGAAAUUAAUGAAAACAAGAUUUUUCCAAAUAUAAGUUUUACUGGAAAUCACCAAGGAUGUCACAAUAACAGAACAACAAAUAAUUCAUAAAUUCUGCUUAAAAGAAAUAUAAUGUGAUGAAGGAAGCUACUAACCGUAUGGUCCUGCUGUAGUAGACCCAAAUGUAGGUGGUCCUGUACCCAAGAGCUCCUGUGAUGAACGUUGUGGCUGACUAGCAUAUACAACUUGAGAGUUAAACGGAACUGUAGUCAAACUUGCAUAGGUUUCAGUCAUGUGCAUUCUGUUAUUAUCAGCAGCACUGCACGUAUAUCCUGCUCCAUAGCUCAUAUAAAGCUCAUUCCCAUUCACAGGAGCAGCAAAUCUAUUUUCACCAUCACUUCCACCAGAGUGAGAAUACCCUCCAUGACUGCCAUAGCUUUCAAGUCUAUUAAUUGGAUACGAAUAAGAGUUACUUCCAGCAGGGGUUCCAACUGGAGGAUAAGGUGAGCAUGAAUUAGACCAAGGUCCAGCAAAGCCAUCCAAAAAGGAAAAAAUAUAACUAAGAAAGACGAGAAAAGAAUGCAUUAACAUGUAGCUGUUUUAGAAACCAUAAAAGAGGCAAACCAGGUAAACUUCCUUUAUUUCGCAGGGGGCUCCAAAUGAAGGAAUAGACAUUUCAUGAGAACUUCCUCGUGGCUGACUAGCAUACACAUCUUGAGAGUUGAAUGGAACUGUAGCCAAACUUGCAUAGGGUUCAGUCAUGUGCAUUCUGUUAUUAUCAAUAGCAAUGGACGUAUAUCCUGCUCCAUAGCUCCUGUAAGGCUCAUUCACAUCCAGAGAAGCAGCAAAUCUAUUUCCACAAUCACUUCCACCAGAAUGAGAAUACCCUCCAUGACACAAAUAUGAGUUACUUCCAGCAGGUGUUCCAACAGGAGGAUAAGGCGAAUAUGCAUUAUUAGACCAAGGUCCAGCAAAGCCCAUGCCAUCUGAAAACGAAAAUUAUUUAUAAGACGAAAACAUAUCAUUUGCAUGUGGCAAUUUUGGACACCACAAAAGAGAGACAAACUAGGUAAACUGCAUUGAUUUUGCACAGGGGUUCCAUUGGAAUAUAUGUUUUCUAUUCCAUAGGAAGGAAUAGAUGUUUCAUGAGAAUUUCAUUGAUAAUUUUGCACAGGGGCUCCACAUGAAGGAUUAGAAGAUCUAUAUAGGACAAUGAAGGACUAUCAUGAGAAUGGACAAUGCCUUUACCAGAAUGAGAGGAAACCACCACACUCGCAUUGAGAUUUGCUUUCAUCUGAUCUAAAUAUCUCUGCGACUCUGCUCGGCUGAGCUCUGGGAAAAAAACCUUACAGCACAAAAAGUACAGGUUACAAUGCAGCCUAAAACCCAAACAUGAAUAGAGGAAGGAAGAAUAAGAAUGCAAUUUACCUCAUCAAAAUACUCAUCUGUAUUGGGCAUGUCCUUGCUCAUUGGCAAAGUAUAAUUGGCUGCCAUGCACCGAUUACAGGUCACCACAAAAAGGAAACAGAUGAUGAAGAAGGAAAGGCCAAAGCAUGGCAAUUUAGAUAGAAGGAACUACUGAUCUAGACAAACCUAACAUCUCAUUUACAGCUUGAGCAGGAAUUUCUUUUCCCAUUUCUUUGUUCCUUUUAUCUGAACGAUUAUUGAGCUCUUCCGGUCUCGGAAAAACAACAACGGCAAUCUGCCUCAAGAAAACACAGCCUUUAAUAUCACAAUAUUCAUGCAAGCAUGGGAAGCAUAAUUUCAACCUUUUAACAUAAAUCUCCAGGAAAAGAAAGAAUCAUACUUUGAAGAGAAAGAAAAAGUUACCUUACGGUAGUUCAAAAAUGGCUUCAGCUUGCGUUUACGUGCAUUCUUGUAGACAUUUGUUUGGUCGAUUAUGAAAUUGCGAGGCACCUUGGAAGCUCUGGACAUAAGAGUAUUGAAAAUCGCAGUUGCUCGUUGCAUCAGACGAUCAAAUCGUUCACCAUAGUUAUGUCUACGAAGCAGACCAGGCACCUUUAUGAAAUUCAAGCUUUUAUCAGAAAAUUGAGAAGAGAAAAAUGCUACUUAAAAAUGAAAAAGCUCUAAAACUAAAACAAGGAUACUAAGACGUGAAUAUGAAAGGCGUACAACCUUCAUCUGAUCCAGGACUAAAUUGGUUCCAAGCAGAAUAUAUCGCUUUUCUGGAUGAGCCCUGACCAAAUUCUCAGCCCACGUAGACUUGCCAGCAGCAGGUAAUCCAACCAUCAUUAUUAGUUCACAAUCACUUACAUUCUGAAACGUAGGUCCCAAUAUCACCUUCCGAUCCUCAAUUGCAGAGGCCCACGGUUUGUAGCCUUCUUGUGGAACUAAUCCAUCUUCAGUCCUGAAUUGCAUCUGAACUUCAACAUUUUUUAGCAAAACAUGAGGAAAUAGUGCUGAUUCCCAUUGCAAGUUUUUGAUUGGACAAUUAACCACUUCGAGGCCACCAAAACCUGCAUGAAACUGAAUUGCAGUUCCCAGCCACUUCCCAUUCUUUGAGAAACCAAUUGAAGCCAUGGGUUUACUUUCAAGGUUGACACAGCAAAUUAUAGUGUCACCAUCAUCAAACUGCUCUCCAUAACCUGAAUAUUUUCCUGCAUUAGAAAACAUUCCUGUGCCCCCAAAACCAAAACUGUGUAGGGUCUCCCCAAGAUUUCCAACAACAUCAUCUCCCCUUGAGAUGCCAACCCUACAUAUAUGCUGCUGGUCCAGUGGAGUGUCAUCCAUAUCAACUGGCUGAUGUGCAAUAAUUUUGCACCCAAAGCAAUACUUUCCCCCAGUGAUUCCCACGUUGGCCCGGGCACCAGACCAGCAAUAAGCAAAUCCCUCCUCAUAAAGUGCUGAACCACGCAGACCAUCUUCUUCAAUAUUGAAAUCUGUCAAAGAGUGAUGUCCGACAUCAAGCUAUAGAAAGGUGAAACCAAUAAUGGAAAAGUAUUUACUCCUAAUAUUAGAUCGAAGAUAGCUGUUCAUUGUGAUUGAGUUGUACCCUAGAUUAUCACAAAGAAACACUUCUUGAUUGCAAACAAUUGAAGAAAAUCUCACAUACGAGCUGGAAAACUAGCAGUGUAUCACCCCCAAUAUCAAAAUAAUAAUAAUAAUAAAAAGAAUAUGCCUGACGGUUUCUUUUCAUAGGGUAGUAGAAUGCAUCCAAGCCCUGACUGUUUUAGUUGAAAAAAAAGCUCUGAUUAGUUUAACUGAAAAAUGUUCUAUAUACUUGACCUCUACCUCAAUUUAAACAUUCAGGGUCCUGACAUGUCUGAUGUAAAUGCUAAAUGAUACAAGGUACAAGGUAACUUUCCAAAUGGAGUUACUGUUUGAUCACAAUUUUUGUGUACUUGUGUACACACAUAUACAUAGGUUGAGAAACAAUUUCAUUGAUGCACCUAUUAUUAAGUUAAUCAAUCAUCAUACGAGGGAAACUACACAAAGGUUUAAUUGUCAUAUGUGCCAAUUUUUUAUACAGAAUGGAUCUGUUCAACCUAUUCAAGUCCCUCCGCCUCACCAAGAACAUAAUUCAAGAGGCAUUUUAUCAGUAAAAGAAGGUAUACACAAAUGGCAAGAAUUUCCAACAACCCACCAUUAUCUAACAAAAUUUUCUUUCAGUCCUUUGCAAUAAGGAAGAUGACAGUCUCUUAUGAAGAGGGAAAAAUUUUGAAAAAGUUCACCGAAACCACUCAGAAGCAUUAUUUGUCAUAUACCUAAACCCUGCUUUUCCUCCUUUGACUCUCGGGGAAAAGGGGCUCUUGAUUUUUACAUCCUCCCAUUCUUCUCCCAUUUUCUUAAACAACGAUAAGAGAAGGCAAAUUGAACCCAAGUUACUAGCCUAAUCGAAUGACUUCUUACCUAAAUUUUUUUUAAAAAAAAACACACAUUUUUGUCACAAUUAAAAAACUAAAGCAACAGAACAGAAACCUAAAAUUGACGGAUUAACCAAUGCAUGUAAUCAUUUCCCAAUGAACACAAAGAGAAGCCACAAAACAAAAUAAUCCCAACAAAUUAAAAAAAAAAAAACAUGCAAAGAAUCCUUUUAUAGGAUAUCGAAAUUCAACCCUCUAUCUUGCGAAAUUGAAGAAAUCGGCGAUCAAGAAAUGGAAUUCAUACGCGAUAUCACAAUCGGCCGGAUUGAGGAGGACGCGACGAACCGGCAGCGCCGGAUGAUAAUCAGCAGAGGCUUGUUCUUCUGCUUCAAUUUUCCCUUUCUUGGCAUCCCUCCACGGCGCCCCGUAACCCUCUUCGAUCGGCUGAGGACGCUUUGCAGAUGACGCCAUCGCUCAACAAUGUCUCUCGCAAAUUCUCUCAGGUAAGCUGAUGCUCGCUUCCACUUCACUUCAUUUCACUUCACUAUAUAUAGCCAGUAUUCUGCUGGCAUAUCCGUUACGUUGAGUUGGGUAUUUAUAGAGAACCUGAGCACCGCCUUGCCUGUGCAAUGGCACGUGACAUGUGUUUUUAACUUUUAUUGGUUGCGUCGUCACACUUGUAAUCUGGGAUUGCAGUUGAUGGCACCACUAGGGAGCCUCUAUGAUGAAACUAAUAACCUUAAAAGAAACUAAUCAGGUGCACUUUAGGUGCAUCAUUUAAAAAGUUAUUUUAGUCAAUCAUCUUUUGUGGUCGUCUUGAUCCAUUAUGUUUAAUCUCUCAUCCCGUUAAGGUAUGGUUAAUGGAGAGAUGAUUUGGAUCGAAAAUUUAAGAAUACUAAUGGAAUUGAUGACGUGCAUGGUAUGUGCAUUAGUAAAAAGUAAAAAAAAAAAAUUAUAUAUAAAGCUAAAUAGAAAAGUGUCACAAGCCCUCAACCCUAAUUUUUUUUUUUCAAUUUCCCUCGCCAAUUUCUUUAACGAGAGUCCAAACUAUAUAAAUAAAAGGACUAGACAAUUUUCCCCUCCUAAUUUUCCCAAAUUCAUGACUUGCAAAGGAUACAAUAGUAAGGGAUCAUGCAAUUAAUAAGAAAUGGAGAAAUCAGUUGGCACAGUAAAUAUAAAAUUUAGAAAUUCAAAAACACUUUUUAGUAAAAGAAUAAUUUUUUUGGUCUUUGAAGACAUCUCAAAUGAGCUUAUAAACAUAAUUUUAAACACAAUUUUUUCUAAUUUUUAGAAAUUCUAACAAUUUGAAAAACUCCUCGAGUUGAUUGUAAACACAUUGUAAUAAUUAAUAAUAUUUUUUAGUUUGGAAACACCUUAAAUAUACUCCUAAAAAUAAAUUAUUUAUACCUUAAAGUGCUUAUUGUUAUAUUUGUAUCCCACUAAAAUUGCACAUUUACACAAUUUGUCUACUAACUUCAUGCUUUUCUUGAUAUACUUUAAAUUUUGAAGAAAAAGGACAACAUAGGGCACUUUUAGAAUGAAAACAUCUUCUCAAUUCCAAAAUGAGUUUUAAAUUAUUUAUACCUUAAAGUGCCUAUUGUUAUAUUACAUCCCACUAAAUUUGCACAUGCACAUAAUUUGUCUAUUAACUUCAAGCCUUUUUUAAUGUACUUUUAAAUUUUUUUUUUUAAAAAAAGGACAACAAAGGGCACUUUUAGAAUGAAAAUAUUUCUCAAUUCAGAAUUGAGUUUUGUAAUAAUAAAUUUUGAAAUGGAUUGUCAUUGUUACAAAAAGUCAAAAGUAGAGAAGUGAUGUUUUUCAAAGUUCAAGGUGCUAAGUGAAAUUAUUAAAAGCUUCAAUGGAGGUUUUUGAAAUUGUCCCUUCUUUUUUUACAAAAAUCUUUUUUUUCCUGCCUAGAAAAUGAUGUCUUAUUAAAGACAUUAGUAUGCUUUUUUUUUUUUUUUGAUAAUUAAGACAUCAGUAUGUUAAGUUACAGAUAAAAGAUUUAUCCCUAGCACUACUAACUCUUAAGUUUUCUUGAGGAUGAAAAAUUUUCGUACUUGUUUUAUUACAAAAAUCUUUUUAUUUCAUACUGGUUUUAGUUUUCUCGAGAAGUAGUGAGGUCAUCAGUAUCUGACUUACAUAUGAAAGAUUGGGUUAAAAGCACUAACCCCUUCCUUCUCCUCCGCUAAUGGUUUGGUUCCAUUUGCAUCUUUCCCCCUAACAUUACUUUUAUUGCACUUUCUUCCCUCAACUAACAAUCAAUAUUAAUAGUUUGGCAAAAAAAAAUUAAUGAUCUCAAAACAAUAAUUAGUAGAAAUAAUACUCGGAAAGAAGAUUUGGCUUUUUGUUUCAAGCGAAUGUUCUUAAAAAUGGAAUCCAACCACGUAAAAAAAUCACGUGCCCUUGAAAUCUAUUUUAGAAUUUAAAAUAAAAUCACUUCAAGUGCCAAAAAAAAUCGUAAAAUGAUUGCAAAAGAAAGAAUACGAUAUAACUUUAAAAACAAAAUUUUCUGUUUAAAUAUUUAAAUUUACACGAUAUGUGUAUAAGAGACAUCUUACCAUAUUUGUAACUUACCUCCAUCUAUUGAUAUCCAUAAUCUGAGAAUGAAUAAGGUUAACUAUAGCAAAGUUUUCGAAUUUACUUAAUAUGGUAUAAUUUUUUGUUAAUAGAAGUGGAAUGUUUUGGAAACUUACUUUUUGAUUUGCCAAAAAAAUAAAAAAUUGCAUUGUUAAAAAUGGAUGACAUGAGAAGCUUGGGCAGGGGAAAAAAGAAUAAAAGAAAAUGGAGAUAAGGACGAAAUUGAAACAUUAGACAUUUUAGGUUCCGUUUGGAUUGCAUUUUCCGUCAUUUUUCAUGGAAAAAUUACUGUAGCGAUUUGAUGUAUGUGAGGAAAAAAGGUAAUAGGGAAAUGUGUUCACAGAAAAUGACGAAAUUUUUCUACGGAAAACAGCAAUCCAAGCAAGGCCACGGCUUAACAGAGGAAGGCCACAGCAAUCCAAACAGUAUUUAACAGAGGAAGCAAUUUGCCAAUUCCGCCUGUCAAAGUUCUGUUCAUUUGCAGAAGAGAACCACGGCUUAGUACCUUUAGCCCUAAAAGAUUUGUCCAUGCGACUAAUACUAACUUUUCAGUUUUAGGUACAGGAAUUGCCCCAAAAUAAUCAAGGCAUAGAAAUUGCCCCAAAGCAAUUGGGAGCAUAACCCAGAAAUAUUCGUUUAACUAGUUCCUAACCUAUUACUUAAGAGUAACUGCCCAUAAUUUGUUGAAAGAUUUUAAAAAAGAAAAACUAUAAGUUGAUUGAUAAAAAGAUUUAGGGUGCGAUUUGAUAUUAAGUCAUUGAAUUGUUAAGUAUUAAAUCUAAUACAUUUGAGUGUAUGUCAUAUUCAGUGACAAGUGAAUAACUUAUCACUUAAUUUUGGGAGCAAGUUUUGCCCAGAAAAUUCAGUGUUACUAAAUUAAUUCAGAUAUUCAAUUUUUGGUUAUCAUACAAUCUGAAUAUGUUAAGAUUUGAAUCCAUUAAGUUUAAGUACUGAAUUGAAUUAUCAAAUAGGGCCUUAGUAAGACAUAAGUGAUACGAAUAUAUAUAUAAAGUGGAAAUUAAUAAAUUAAUUAAAAUUACUAUAAAUAAGGAAGUAAAAAAGGAAGAGAAUUAAUUAUUACAAAAAAAAGCAGAAAAGAAUUUAAAAAAAAAACACAAAUUCUUAAGAAGUGGCGAAAAGAUGGAUAGUCCAUUUGACAGAACAUGAAUAUGUUCAACUUGACAAAAUGCGGAUACGUUCAACUCAGCAAUCUACCAUUUGGAUAGAGUAUUAUUUGAAAUAUUAUUUGGAAUAAUUACUGUAGUACUUUUUGUGAUGUGAUGUAUGUGAGAUAAAAAAGUAAUUGGGAAUAUAAAAAGGUGGGUUGGAAAAUGUGUUUAUGAUGCAAGCGAAAUAUUAUUUGAGAUAUUUGUGCUAUCCAAACACUUUUAUUUUAUGUGUGCGUGUGUAUGAGAUUUGUAAAACGGUAAUUGCUUUUCCAAGGGGUUCAUUAAACUAGCAUAUAGUCGGAAGCAAUAUAAUAGCUGAAAUGAAAAUUAUGAAACAAUAGACCCCAAACAACUUCAUAAAUAUUAUCAUUUCGAGCACCAUUGAAACAAAGCCUCGUAACCAGAACGACAAAACCCAUUGCAAGCAAAUUAACCACCAAUCAAGAAAUACUAGAUUUGUUUAUUCCUUGGUCACAAACUCUGGUAACACUUGCAAUUAUAUUUGCAAUAUCGAGGUUGGUUGUUGCCUCUACUUUUAUGAUGCUUUGAGGACAAAAUGACAUUAGUGUUUGAGCCCGAAAUACCAAUGUGAAAACCAAACAGACUAUGUAAAUUGUUUUACAUCUUAAUAACCUUUGAAGCAAAUGGCAAAACUAGUAACUAAACUAGUAGGCAUUCUUUGUUUUAGUAAUUCAACAUUUUAUUUAGCCGAAAUAAUCAUUGAACUAAUAAAAAAAGUAUAAUUUUUUGUCAGCCACGUAGUAAAUAUUUACAUUUCUAAGUCACUAAUCUAAUGAGAGUGUACACUUUGUAGUCACAAAACGCAUCAUUUUAGUUAAAUAAAGAGUUUAGUGAUCAAAAUAGAGAAGUCUAAAUAGUUUAGUGACAAUGUGUGUCAUUUGCUCUAACCUUUAGUACGUUGUUUAUAAAAAGUUCGAGGAAAAUGAAAUAAAAAUUAUUAUUUUAUCAUGAUGCUAAGUUCAUGUUUCUUCUUCUUUCCACCUGAAGUAAUAUUUAUCUAUCUUCAUUUAUAUUUUUUGUUUUCUUUUUAUGCAAAUUUCGAACUCCAGAUCGAGGAUAGUAUUGUCAAUAUAAAAACUUCCAUACAAACCAAUAAAACAAGUACGGCCUAUAUUGAGUAAAUUUUAUAUACACUGUCAGUGUAUACAUUAUCAUGGUUGGAUGGGCGACACAGAAGCAAAUUUUGAAUUUUAAAUUCAAAUUUUGCACAUGUGAUAUAUCUAAUGGUGAUAGUAGUGUAUACACUGAUAACGUAUAUAAGAUUAAUCCUAUUUUAUAUGCUGACUAUAAGGUACUACACUAUAAACGAGUGCCAGUACUUGCUAAUCAAACAAGAUAUUCUUGACCAACAAAAGUAGGCAUAAUCCUGUAUCUAAAUUCUGAGUGUCAAGGUAUGUACAUCGGUUGUGUUGUGCCUACCGUAUUCAAGCAUGCAACAUUGGUCUUUCUUUUUCCUUCUCUUUGUUCUGGUUUUACUUCCCAUGCAUGAUCAUAGCCAGCUACAAGAAAAUCUUCUGAAAGGUAAGGCUAACUAAAGGAUUGUGGAUUAGUACAAAUGGAAUUUGCAAGGUGCUAGAAAGUAACCGCAAAUAGACCUUCAUCAUGUAAGGGCACCUUCCCUACGAGUCAAAUGGUAACAAUAUAUGAAUGGUUGGAUAAUUGGGACUUAAAAGUAGAUUCUUUGUUGGUAAAAGGAAAACGAAGUAGGAGUUUCCGAAGCCGCGUGUUUCUCUGGUGAUAUCUGGCUGGCAGCUUAUCAGCAUGCUUUUCUAGAUUGGGACAGCUUAGCACCGAAAACUAAACCCUGACUGGGUGGACAGAUCAUUGCGGCGCAAAUUUUGAUCCUGUAAUUAAGGUUCAAGGAUUCCAGCCAGGUUCCCUCAAACCUUUAACUCCGAUACAGCCAGAUCCUCAAUGAAAUCCUAGGUAUCAGAAUAGGAAAUUAACAUCUUAUUAUUAAUGCAGAAAGCGCAAGGUCCAUGUUCUCUGAAGACGCCGCUCACCAAAACAAGUAGGGAAUGGAAAUAAACAUAAUGGUAGAUCCUUCAUUUUCCUUUUCAUAAUGUACUAAUCUCUGCCUGACAAUCUUGGCGAUAACCGUCCCCGAAAACAAAAGGAUUUAAUACUGAUAAUUUCAACAAGAAAUCAACAGGUAGCCCCCCAUCACCUGAUUGUUGAAAAGGUAUUGACCAAAUAGAAUCAGCGGAGUUCAGACACAGAUGCAUUAAUGCAGAACAUAAAAGGGCAAAAAAAAUAUAGUACAUAUGCUAAAUGAAACAAGAAUCUCAGCUGACGUCUCAAAUUGGCCAACAAUAAUCUCUUACAUAGUUCUACUGCACCGUAGUGAUUACAUGGAGGAGGAAGAACAACAUUGUGUCGGGAGAACAGAAGAACAAUCAAAUUGCAAAAUCAGCUUGGAAGAGAUGUAUUCCUUCAACCAAUUCGAAUAAGUUUACCAAAGAGCUAGGAGGCUCAUAUAUACACGCCUUUGAGAAUAAAAAGGGCCACUACAGCUCCUUAAAUGAAAUCCCUAAACCAUUUCUUCUACAUGUACAAACAAAGUAUAAACAAGCCAAUCCUAUCUUCAAUGAAAGAAUUGAAGAAAAUGGGCCUGCAUGGAUUUGUUUUGUCAUGUACAAACU
rnacentral:lncRNA from 1 species